rnacentral:rRNA from 1 species
CCUACGGGAGGCAGCAGUCGGGAAUAUUGCGCAAUGGAGGAAACUCUGACGCAGUGACGCCGCGUGCAGGAAGAAGGUUUUCGGAUUGUAAACUGCUUUAGACAGGGCAGAAAAAAGACAGUACCUGUAGAAUAAGCAUCGGCUAACUCCGUGCCAGCAGCCGCGGUAAUACGUAGGGGGCAAGCGUUAUCCGGAUGUACUGGGUGUAAAGGGAGCGUAGACGGCAGUGCAAGUCUGGAGUGAAAGGCGGGGGCUCAACCCCCGGACUGCUCGGGAAACUGGACGGCUGGAGUGCAGGAGAGGUAAGUGGCAUUCCUAGGGGAGCGGUGAAAUGCGUAGAUAUUAGGAGGAAAACCAGUGGCGAAGGCGGCUUACUGGACUGUAACUGACGUUGAGGCUCGAAAGCGUGGGGAGCAAACAGGAUUAGAUACCCGUGUAGUC